GUGCUCACUUGGGCACCACAUAUACUAAACUUGGAAUGAUACAGAGAAGAUGAGCAAGGCUGUAGCACAAGGAUGACACACAAAUUCAUGAAAUGGUCCAUAUGUUU